UGACAGGACUGUGUUGGCUGUCAGUUUUUGUUGUUUUGUAAAUUGCAUAGUGUUCGUUUAAUUAAAUAUGAUGAACCCUAACUCCGCCGCAUUUUGGUCCACUUCUUCCUCAGACAGCCGUGACAGAAUUACCCACCACCAAACCAGGACCAAGCGGCGGAUGAGAAAAAAGGAGGAAUGGACAUGGGAGGACGUCCUGGAUGGCAAGGGAGCCUACACCUGGGAAGAGAUCCUGGCCGGAAGGGAUCGCCUCCCAUGGGAACAGGUGGAGGCACUCAGGAGAGCGGAGGCAGCUGGACAGAGGAACCACCGGGAACGUUUCCGAGGUACACGACUAGCGUUCAAACCCGAGAGGCAGCCCCAAGAUUUUUUUUGGGGGGGGCACACGGGUAGUUUGGCCAGGCCAGGAAAGAGUCGUAAGCCAGCUACCCGUGACUACAGGGAGGUGCGUAUGAGGUGGAGGGCGCCAUGUUACGCCAUGGUACGCACUAUCUCGCCUAUAUGGACGCACAGCCCAGUUCGCCCAGUACCAGCGCCCCGCAGGUGCCAGGGCAAGGGGAGCAUCGAGCCGGAAGGGGUGAUGCCAACCCUGCACUCAAGACCGCCAGUGCGCCCUUUCGGUCCGGUGUUUCCCGCUAGACGCACUAGCAUGGAGGUGCGUGUCUCCAGGCUGGCAAGUCCAAUACCAGCCCCACGCAUCAGGAGUCUAGUGCGUCAGCCCAGCCUCGCCAGUCAACAGUCACCAGAGCUGCCCGCCAGUCAACAGUCGUCAGAGCUGCCUGCCAGUCAACAGUCGUCAGAGCUGCCCGCCAGUCAACAGUCGUCAGAGCUGCCCGCCAGUCAACAGUCGUCAGAGCUGCCCGCCAGUCAACAGUCGUCAGAGCUGCCCGCCAGUCAACAGUCGUCAGAGCUGCCCGCCAGUCAACAGUCGUCAGAGCUGCCCGCCAGUCAACAGUCGUCAGAGCUGCCCGCCAGUCAACAGUCGCCAGAGAGGUCAGACUGCGCUGAACUGCCGGAGUGGCCAGACUGCGCUGAACUGCCGGAGUGGCCAGACUGCCCUGAACUGCCGGAGUGGCCAGACUGCCCUGAACUGCCGGAGUGGCCAGACUGCCCUG
rnacentral:lncRNA from 1 species